CUUGACAGCGGUUUUGAGCCACCUGUUUAUUUGUGAGUGGUUAAAUUGGCUUUUCUAUGCAUGUGGGACUUCCCACGGUUAGAACCAAGCUGUCUCUGGAAAUUUCAUUCGAACUUCAUGCUGUAAAGUAAUCAGCGCUUAGGUUUUGUCGAGAACUAAAGUCAUUUGAUGUCUUGGAAAAAUUUCUAUCGGCGUUUUUUUUGAUUCGCCGAGCUUGUGCUUUUGACACUCGAGGAGAAAAGCGUCUCUUGCCAGAAGCGAUCUCCAGGAUUCCCUGUUCUGUCAAAAUAAGAAGUAAACAUAUUUGGACCACUGGAUUUAACAGACGCCUUCGUAAGGAGCAUGUUUAGCUGAUGAAGAAUGAGACAUGUAGGAGAAUGUGGGCAAGACUACCCAGACAUCUAUUCUAUUUGGCAGUUAUUUUCGCAACCUGCUGGCAAGGAACAGUUGCAUUAGUUAAACGCGAAACAGAAGAGUUCCGCCUUCUGAGGAACUUGUUUAAAGACUACGACAAAGAAGUGAGGCCAGUCUACAACACGAGCGACGUUGUCAAUGUUAAUUUCAGUUUGAGCUUGAUUCAGAUUAUUUCAGUGGUAAGUUGAUCUGACAAUCUGACGAAACGUUUGAUAAUUUUGGCCGAGCUCGAGAGGAUAUAAAAUAUGAUAAAUUCAACAAUACAGGCGUGUGAAAAAAACUGAAAACAAAACAACAGCCACAGCAACAGCCCAGUUAUCAUAAACUGUUACUAUAUUUUAAAUUUUAGCCCAAGGAAACAGAUAUGCGGAUAUUACGGUUUUUAGUAGUGAGCACUUAAUGUGUUCUUCUGAGAAUUUCUGAACCCAAUUGGUUUAUGGUUUGAUGUUUAUUCUCCGACAGAAUGCGAU